rnacentral:lncRNA from 1 species
AUAUAAACCUGGAGAAAAUGAAUAAUCAAACAUUUCAUAAGUGAUUUUUCUGACGAGAAAUGACUACAAUGACGUAAUUGUCAGCGAAAGAUUGGUGGCACCAAUUGUGUAUCUUGUGAUUCUCCUGUUAUAGGAGUUCCUGGAAACAUAUUUGUUUUAAUCAUAUACAAAAAUUACAAUAAACACGUCUACAGAAAGAUCAUAUGGACCAUUGCUGUUAUAGACUUGGUGUUUUGUUUGAUUGGUAUUCCAUUCAAUCUUGGCAGGAUGUUCAAUUAUUACAAUUUUAAGUCAUUACGCAGUUGUCAAAUUGUGGCAGGUAUUUUAGAUAGUGGAAUUAUAACAUCUACUCAUUUACUAGUUUUGUUAACCAUUCACAGAUGUCGACAAGUAUGCUUACCUCUGAAACGACAGAUAACAUUGAAAAAUGUGCCAUAUUUUAUUGGUUUAUGCUGUGCAAUUGGAGUGGCACUCGGGAUACCCAAGAUUACUGUUUUAGAACCGUUGCUGAAACAGAUCUCGGAAACAAUGUUACCGGCUAUACAUGUUCUGUAGCAUGGAAAGAUUCACCACAGGCUUGGAAAAACUACAACACGUUCCUAACUUUUUUGUUUUUAUCCUAUACAUUACUUUUGUUUAUUCUGUAUAUUAUGAUUGGAAGGACUAUUCAUAACCAAAAUAAGAAACGCAAAUUAGACUUGCAUUCUUCACGUUCAAGGCAGAUCAACAAUCCAUUCACACAAAAUGACUAAAAUUGCUAUAACUGUUAGUGCAGUGUUUGCCUUUAGCUAUUUACCAUUAUAUCUAAAUGAAUGGGCAACAAAGGGUUUGGUUGAAAAACAAUUAGGUCUAUUCUUAUUUUCUUUGUUGAAAAUUGUACAAAGAUCAUACCUAUUAAUCAUGUCGCUAAUCCUUUUAGAUAUGCCAUCUUUGAUAAAAGAUUUCGACAACAAACAGUAAAUAUUCUUACAUGUAAAACGACCGAUAAAGAUCACGAUAAAAGACCAUCGGAAACAGAAAAUAGUACACAAAAGGCGUCGACAUCAGCUACAGGUAUAUAAACAUGACAAUGAUUUCAUUUUUAUUAUAAAAGAAGGAGUUCGUAUACAUCAUUCCGCUUUCAAAUUACAUUGAUUUGUAGAUUUGAUAUAAAAUCAAAGAGACAGAAAAGCUACAGUGUUUGUUUAUAUCUUCUCUUGUGUUAGCUUUAUUAUUUUUCGUGAUUUU